rnacentral:rRNA from 1 species
GAUGAACGCUGGCGGCGUGCUUAACACAUGCAAGUCGAACGGUGAAGACCAGCUUGCUGGGUGGCUUAGGGGCGAACGGGUGCGUAACACAUGAGUAACCUGCCCUUAACCCUGUGAUAAGCCUGGAAAACUGGGUCUAAUACCGGAAAGGCGCGUCCACCGCACGGUGGGCGUUGGACAGCGUUAUCGGUUUUGGAUGGACUCGCGGCCUGUCAGCUUGUUGGUGCGGUAAUGGGUCACCAAGGCGACGACGGGUAGCCGGCCUGAGAGGGUGACCGGCCACACUGGGACUGAGACACGGCCCAGACUCCUACGGGAGGCAGCAGUGGGGAAUAUUGCACAAUGGGCGCAAGCCUGAUGCAGCGACGCCGCGUGAGGGAUGACGGCCUUCGGGUUGUAAACCUCUUUCAGUAGGGAAGAAGCGAAAGUGACGGUACCUGCAGAAGAAGCACCGGCUAACUACGUG